GCUGGGUGCAGUGGUUCACAUCUGUAGUCUCAGCCACUUGGAAGGCUGAGGCAGGAGGAUCACUUGAGUCCAGGAGGGAGGAUUGAUGUAAUGUGCUAUACCGAUUGGUGUCACACUAAGUUCAGCAUCAAAUGGGGACCUCCCGGGAGUGGGGGUCCAUCAGGUGCCUAAGGUGGGGUGAACUGGCCCAGGUCAGAAGUGAAGCAGGUCAAACCUUCCAUACUGAUCAGUAGUGGGACUGUGCCUGUGAAUAGCCACUGCACUCCAAUCUAGGCAACAUAGCAAGAUCCUUUCUCUA
rfam:Nomascus leucogenys chromosome 4, whole genome shotgun sequence.